CAUUUAUUUUCCUGACAAACGUGUGUCAAUAAGUUAGUAAGAUUCAUUGGCACAAGUUUGUUGUGAGGGUAAAUGGG
rnacentral:miRNA from 1 species